CUAANANAUGCAAGUCGAACGAUGAAGCUUUUAGCUUGCUAGAAGUGGAUUAGUGGCGCACGGGUGAGUAAGGUAUAGUUAAUCUGCCCUACACAAGAGGACAACAGUUGGAAACGACUGCUAAUACUCUAUACUCCUGCUUAACAUAAGUUGAGUAGGGAAAGUUUUUCGGUGUAGGAUGAGACUAUAUAGUAUCAGCUAGUUGGUAAGGUAAUGGCUUACCAAGGCUAUGACGCUUAACUGGUCUGAGAGGAUGAUCAGUCACACUGGAACUGAGACACGGUCCAGACUCCUACGGGAGGCAGCAGUAGGGAAUAUUGCGCAAUGGGGGAAACCCUGACGCAGCAACGCCGCGUGGAGGAUGACACUUUUCGGAGCGUAAACUCCUUUUCUUAGGGAAGAAUUCUGACGGUACCUAAGGAAUAAGCACCGGCUAACUCCGUGCCAGCAGCCGCGGUAAUACGGAGGGUGCAAGCGUUACUCGGAAUCACUGGGCGUAAAGGGCGCGUAGGCGGAUUAUCAAGUCUCUUGUGAAAUCUAAUGGCUUAACCAUUAAACUGCUUGGGAAACUGAUAGUCUAGAGUGAGGGAGAGGCAGAUGGAAUUGGUGGUGUAGGGGUAAAAUCCGUAGAUAUCACCAAGAAUACCCAUUGCGAAGGCGAUCUGCUGGAACUUAACUGACGCUAAGGCGCGAAAGCGUGGGGAGCAAACAGGAUUAGAUACCCUGGUAGUCCACGCCCUAAACGAUGUACACUAGUUGUUGGGGUGCUAGUCAUCUCAGUAAUGCAGCUAACGCAUUAAGUGUACCGCCUGGGGAGUACGGUCGCAAGAUUAAAACUCAAAGGAAUAGACGGGGACCCGCACAAGCGGUGGAGCAUGUGGUUUAAUUCGAAGAUACGCGAAGAACCUUACCUGGGCUUGAUAUCCUAAGAACCUUUUAGAGAUAAGAGGGUGCUAGCUUGCUAGAACUUAGAGACAGGUGCUGCACGGCUGUCGUCAGCUCGUGUCGUGAGAUGUUGGGUUAAGUCCCGCAACGAGCGCAACCCACGUAUUUAGUUGCUAACGGUUCGGCCGAGCACUCUAAAUAGACUGCCUUCGUAAGGAGAAGAAGGUGUGGACAACUUCAGUCAUCAUGCCCUUAUGCCNNGGGCNACCACGUGCUACAAUGGC
rnacentral:rRNA from 1 species